AAUAGAUACCCCGGUAGUCCACGCUGUAAACGGUGGGUACUAGGUGUGGGGUCCAUUCCACGGGUUCCGCGCCGUAGCUAACGCUUUAAGUACCCCGCCUGGGGAGUACGGCCGCAAGGCUAAAACUCAAAGGAAUUGACGGGGCCCCGCACAAGCGGCGGAGCAUGCGGAUUAAUUCGAUGCAACGCGUAGAACCUUACCUGGGUUUGACAUGGAUCGGGAGUGCUCAGAGAUGGGUGUGCCUCUUUUGGGGUCGGUUCACAGGUGGUGCAUGGCUGUCGUCAGCUCGUGUCGUGAGAUGUUGGGUUAAGUCCCGCAACGAGCGCAACCCUUGUUCACUGUUGCCAGCACGUUAUGGUGGGGACUCAGUGGAGACCGCCGGGGUCAACUCGGAGGAAGGUGGGGAUGACGUCAAGUCAUCAUGCCCCUUAUGUCCAGGGCUUCACGCAUGCUACAAUGGCUGGUACAGAGAGUGGCGAGCCUGUGAGGGUGAGCGAAUCUCGGAAAGCCGGUCUCAGUUCGGAUUGGGGU
rnacentral:rRNA from 1 species